GAGUUGGGGUUUGUUGGCUGUGGUGUGAAGAAGGAGUCAGUGCUGUGGGGAGAUCCCCAUGAGAAAUCACCGAGAAGGAAUCCCAGGAAAACAGCAGGGCUCUGUGUUGAAUGUAACUGAACUAUAACUUUGCCAUUUCACUCUGAUGUAAGUUCAUUGGGAUAAGAUGGCUUGAGAAGGAGUGUUUCUGGGCCUCGUUUCAGCGGGGCGCUGUGCACCAACCCACCCCAGCCCUAGAGCAAUGGGGCCGGCUCCUUCCCGUCUGCCCCAUGCUUGUCUUCUCCUACAACUCAAAGAUGCUGCUGCACGGCACCUUCAGGAUAAAAGGACUUCUGAGCAUCAUGGAAGCUAUCUGUUUGCAUGUACAUCCUGUCACCAAGCCACGGCCCCGCGCGCUUGCACACAUUUCCCUGGGCCUGGCAGAAAUAAUCAGCGUACAAGAGGGAGGGGAAGAAGCCCUAGGCUUCCUCUGGAUCAACAUCAGUGCACACGUUCCUGCUGCUUUGGCAACACAUGGGUGUACCUCACAGAGGACUUUCUGCACAGCAGCAGCACUUGGAUUCUGACAGAUAAAGGUUUCAGUAGUGCCAGCAUAUAGAAAUACAGCUUUUCACACAUUGAUAAUGUCAUGUAAUUUAAAUGUCUAGAAGUGCAGC